AAACUCAGUGGGCUGUGUCUGAGGGUUC
rnacentral:sRNA from 1 species